UUUUGACCUCAAAUCAGGUAGGACUACCCGCUGAACUUAAGCAUAUCUUGGGCGCGGAGGA
rnacentral:rRNA from 1 species